CUGCUUGGGGAGUUAGACAGCCGAGGGCCUUCCGGAGGCACCAGCAGGGGGUGGGGCCAGCUACACCCGCUGAGACAGAGCUCCCCUCCCGCAGCUGCCAGUGCAGAGAGUACAUCUCGGCAGAGGAGCUCUGUGACGCCCAGUGUCUGGCCACGGCCCCCCAGCUCUCCCUGGCCUGGGGGCCCCGCAGAAAGCUGAUCCUUGGCAUGAAGAGCGAGGCUGGGGACAGCGUCCAGAGGGUGAGCGCAGCUCAGGGAGGGGUCGGAAUGGAAGGGCAGCCUCUGCCCACUGGAGUCGGAGCAGGUGGGCCUCCCCAGGCACCUGUGGCUACAGAAAAUCCCAGCACCAGGCUCAAGAAACCAGGCGGCCAAAGGGCAAGCCAUCUGUGAGCCAGCCUUCCCUACCGGUCUUUUGUCGUCAGCCUGAAUUUCCCAUCGCGGGCUGGAGGGAAGGGCAGGGAGGAGGUAGGAGCGGUGUUCCUGUGUCAAUGCCAACCAGCCAGGAUGAAGGUCAGCGGGACCGUGGAAAGCAUCAGCUUCCCUUUAUACAAGUGUGACGUGAGGUCAAGGAACUGGCAAGCACGCUGGGCCCAGACAGGUUCUCCCAGGGUAGCGCCCGGGUCCACCUGGUCCAGUGUGGCCCCCACGGCCUCCUUGGCGUCAUCAUCUCCAGCGCAGACAUGCUCGGCUCCCUCCUUCUUGGUUUGCUCACCAGUUUCUAGAUCCGGGCACGUACGUGUUUCGCGACAACGGGCAGCCCGAGAGCAUGGCCGUGGUGCUGGUGAAGGCAAGGGGGGCGGCCUGUGAGCCAGGCCAGGCUCCUGUGCAGCCCUCCUCCCCCGAUCAGCUCGCCAGGCACGGGGUCCUCAGGCACCGCCUGCCCAACCUGGGCCCAGAUUGGGCAGCCAUCUCAGGUACAGACCAUGGGCCAGAGGGGCAGGGACGUGGAGAAGCACGGGAGGGCUGAGCACAGCAGGCCCCAGGCACAACCCCGAAGGCCACAGAUGGGGACGAGCACAGGCUGUCCUUGAACUGGGGCUUCACGUGCCAGGCAAAGAAAAUUGAGUUUCCUUCCCUGGGGUCGCCCGUCUCACCCUCGCUGCUGCCCUGUGCCCCCCAGUUCUGGGGUCUGCCCUACAGAAUGGGAUCCCUGCCCAGAGACUGGGGUCUCUUCCCUAAAGAACAGGGUCCCUGCCCCAGAGAACAGGGUCCCUGCCUUAGAGAACGGGGUCCCUGCCCCAGUGGUCGUGGUCCCUGCCCCUGU
rnacentral:lncRNA from 9 species